GAUGAACGCUGGCGGCGUGCCUAACACAUGCAAGUCGAGCGAUUCUCUUAGGAGAAGAGCGGCGGACGGGUGAGUAACGCGUGGGUAACCUGCCCUGUACACACGGAUAACAUACCGAAAGGUAUGCUAAUACGGGAUAAUGUGCUUUUGUCGCAUGGCAAAAGUAUCAAAGCUCCGGCGGUACAGGAUGGAACCGCGUCUGAUUAGUUAGUUGGUGAGGUAAUGGUUCACCAAGGCGACGAUCAGUAGCCGACCUGAGAGGGUGAUCGGCCACAUUGGAACUGAGACACGGUCCAAACUCCUACGGGAGGCAGCAGUGGAGAAUAUUGCACAAUGGGCGAAAGCCUGAUGCAGCAACGCCGCGUGAGCGAUGAAGGCCCUCGGGUCGUAAAGCUCUGUCCUCAAGGAAGAUAAUGACGGUACUUGAGGAGGAAGCCCCGGCUAACUACGUGCCAGCCGCCGCCGUAAAAC
rnacentral:rRNA from 1 species